rnacentral:misc_RNA from 1 species
GAUGAAGAACGUAGCGAAAUGCGAUAAGUAGUGUGAAUUGCAGAAUUCAGUGAAUCAUCGAAUCUUUGAACGCACAUUGCGCCCUUUGGUAUUCCUUAGGGCAUGCCUGUUCGAGCGUCAUUUAAACCUUCAAGCUCAGCUUGGUGUUGGGUGACUGUCCGCCGCCUCCGGGCGCGUGGACUCGCCUCAAAAUUAUUGGCGGCCGGUACAUUGGCUUCAAGCGCAGCAGAAACGCGAACUCGGGCCCGUCGUAUUGGCUCCCAGAAGCUAUCUUCACAAUUUUGACCUCGGAUCAGGUAGGGAUACCCGCUGAACUUAAGCAUAUCAAUAAGCGGAGGA